rnacentral:rRNA from 1 species
AUUGAACGCUGGCGGCAGGCUUAACACAUGCAAGUCGAGCGGGGGGAGGUAGCUUGCUACCUAACCUAGCGGCGGACGGGUGAGUAAUGCUUAGGAAUCUGCCUAUUAGUGGGGGACAACAUUUCGAAAGGGAUGCUAAUACCGCAUACGCCCUAAGGGGGAAAGCAGGGGAUCUUCGGACCUUGCGCUAAUAGCUGAGCCUAAGUCGGAUUAGCUAGUUGGUGGGGUAAAGGCCUACCAAGGCGAAGAUCUGUAGCGGGUGUGAGAGGAUGAUCCGCCACACUGGGACUGGGACACGGCCCAGACUCCUACGGGAGGCAGAAGUGGGGAAUAUUGGACAAUGGGGGGAACCCUGAUCCAGCCAUGCCGCGUGUGUGAAGAAGGCAUUUUGGUUGUAAAGCACUUUAAGCGAGGAGGAGGCUACCGAGAUUAAUACUCUUGGAUAGUGGACGUUACUCGCAGAAUAAGCACCGGCUAACUCUGUGCCAGCCGCCGCGGUAAGAC